UAUGUGAUCGUCUCUCGCAUAUCAAUAAGCGGAGGAAAAGAAACUAACAAGGAUUCCCCUAGUAACGGCGAGUGAAGCGGGAAGAGCUCAAAUUUGAAAUCUUAAAGGGUUUCCCUUUACGAAUUGUAGUUUAAAGAAGUGUUUUCUGUUGAGGUUUUGGUAAAAGUUCUUUGGAAGUAGGACAUCAUAGAGGGUGAGAAUCCCGUAUUUGACCUUUACUUUCAACUUUGUGAUACACUUUCAAAGAGUCGGAUUGUUUGGGAAUGCAGUCCAAAAUGGGUGGUAAAUUUCAUCUAAAGCUAAAUAUUGGCGAGAGACCGAUAGCGAACAAGUACCGUGAGGGAAAGAUGAAAAGAACUUUGAAAAGAGAGUUAAACAGUACGUGAAAUUGUCAAAAGGGAAGCGUUUGACACCAGUGUUGUUUUUCUGAAAAUCAAUUAAAGAACUGUUUAUGCUAAGUUGUUUAGACUUUAUCAGCUAUCUGUUUAGUUUUAGGCUUUUCUUUAAUGCACUUUUCAGUUAACAAGUCAACAUCAAUUUCUAUUUGCUGUAAAAAAGCUUGAGGAAGGUGGCUUGAGAUUCGUCUUAAGUGUUUAUAGCCUCUUGCCUAUGCAGUCGGAGAGAUUGAGGUCUGCAGCGUAGAUCCUUCGGGGCUAAAUGCAUUUGUGCUAAGUUAUAGCAUUUUAUAGACAACUUGUUGACUAUGAUUUGUCUUGUAGCUUACUCGCUUAUGUUAUUUUACCUACGCUUAGGAUGUUGAUCUACAGAGCGAGAGU
rnacentral:rRNA from 1 species